rnacentral:lncRNA from 1 species
UAAACAGAUGACAAGGAUCUGCUGUAAUUAAAAAAAAAAAAAGGCAGUCUUAACGAGGGCUGAAGCUAUUAGCUACCCAGUUUAGAGACAGUACAGAGGGGGGUUGUGAGCUUAAAACAGAGACAGAGAAGUACAAAAUUUGCAAGGCUCUUUGGUUUCAUCUGAAAAAGUGGGGUUGUUUUUUUUUUUUAGAAAUGAUUUUGCAUGCAAGAAUCAAAACAGGAAAGUAUUAGCAUAGGUUUAAAGAUGAUUUACUUAAGUCUUUGUACUAUUCCAUAGUUCCCAAAAUCUUACAGUAUUACUUUUACAUCAGAGAAGUUUUUUUGUAAGUAAAGGAUUGGAAAUUGCAAAAUUUUUUUGCCUCCUAUCAAAAACAUGAAAUUUCAAUGAUGAAAAAUACUAGUUUUCUAAAUGUUUUGAUAUGUAUGGUAAAAUUACAUGGACAACUGCAGUGAUUAAUUUUAAGAUUGUAUCUAACCCAAACAGGGCAGACCAUUCAGGAGGGUAACAUUUCAUUUUCAGGGAAAUGUUCUGGUAUCAUGAAGAUAAAACUUCUGUCAAAUGGCAACAGUUCCAUAAUCUAUGUAAUGGCCACAAAUAUUAACUCCCAGUGGAUCUGACUUAGAUAUUAUUGAAUACUGGAUUAUGUAGUUUCCUUUAUGAAAUUUUACUUGUUCUACAGUCACUUCUCAAUUAACCUUGGUAAUGGGAGACAGAAAGAACACUUCCAGAUAAUCCAAAAUCCUAAAUUUAGCACAACAGCUGAGACCAGAUAACAGCUAUUGUAAAAGGCUUAGUGGGUGAACAGAUCUGGGAGCUAGAUCUGUGAUUUAGCUCCUCUUCCUCUGCCUAAUUUGCAAAAAGUAUAAAGACCAGAAAAAUGUUGAGAGUAGAAGCUGAGAAUAUUGGAUAAUAUGGAGCACAAAGAAUAAUCAUUUUAAAUAAUUAAGUUUCUAUAGCACAUGGAUAAAUGAUGAUGUCUGAACAUUUGUUAGACUAACUUGAAGCUUUUUAUUAGGAAUCUUGAAUCUGUUUAAAAAUUGGAGAUCAUUAGGGCAAAUCAUUAUUCCAAUUGUUUCAUUCACUUAGAACACACUUACUGAGCACUCACUAUUUGCUAGGCACAUGCUAGUCUCUCCUUUUUCUUUUUUCAAAGAUUUUAUUUAUUCAGGAGAGACACAGAGAGACAGGCAGAGACAUAGGCAGAGGGAGAAGCAGGCUACCUGUGGGGAUCCCGAUGCAGGACUCCAUCCCCAGACCCCCAUGCCCUGAGCCAAAGGCAGACACUCAACCACUGAGCCACCCAAGCAUCCCUACAUGCUAGUCUCAAUAUAAGGUGAUGAAAAACAAGGUCACUUCUCUUAUGGAGCUUGAAGUACUGACUACUAUGUUUGCACAGCUUGGGUCAAGUCACAUUUUUCGCCUAUGAAAAAGAAGUGUUUUGACUCUAACAAAAGGUAAUUUCUUUCUAAUUCUAAAGCAAUUCUAUAAUUGUAUAAAACAUAUCCAGAGUGGGUUGGAAAUAAGGACCUUUCCACAAUGGCAACUCUUUAAGUGUUAGUGAUAAAUGUGUUUGCACUUUGGGGGCACCCAAGCAAAGCAAACAUCAAUGGUUCCUACUUGGUGAGAGGUUAAGGGUCGGUGAAGCAAGGAAGUCAAAACAGUUGACAGGAACCUUACCCUCUUUCCGUCUGAUUUGCUCUCCAUUUUGCUUUCCCCUAGCGUUAGAAGACUUAUAAUUAACUUCAAAAAAGUUAAUUCAUCUUCAGCAAGGACAUAAUCUCCUCAACUUUUACAGGUUCUGUUGAAAUAGGCAGCAUAGGGGGCAGCCCAGGUGGCUCAGCGGUUUAGCGCCGCCUUCAGCCCAGGGUGUGAUCCUGGAGGCCCAGGGUGUGAUCCUGGAGACCCCGGAUUGGAUCGACCUGAUGAGGGACUCAAUCCAAGGGCUCUGGGAUAGUGACCUGAACCAAAGGCAAACAAUCACUGAGCCACCCAGGUGCCCCAACAUGGGAAUCUUUUUUUUUUUUUUCCCCAUGGGAAUCUUUAAUUCCGUAAAAACCACAGUAAAUCAGUUGCAAAUGUGAAAGAAAUUGCUCAAGUACCACAAAAGAACAACUUUGUGUUCUUUCAGCUAAAGGAUGAUCAUGAAUAAGUAAUUGAGAAUCAUCAAAUGAAAAUACACUAUUUUAAAUAUGAUGAUUGGUAAAUCUAUUUCAUCAUCAAGUUUUGUGAAAAUAAAGAACGGUAGAAUUAAUUAAAAUGUGGCGAUAAAGCUAGUCUUGCAUAGUGAGUAAAAAAAAAAUGAAGAAUUUGUGUACUUUUAGUUCUUGAAGCAACAAGAGGAAAGGCAAGCUAUCUUUUCCAAAGCUAACUUGUUUCCAAUGGUUCAUUAAAUUCAUUACAGUUCAUUUGUUUCUAAGGGAGAAAGAUUGGAGCUGUUGCUAAGGUAGAUACUGUUUACUAGAAACAAUCUUCCACCUUCCCUUAAAUUGAUUGGCUGGUCUUUUUUUUUUUUUUUAGGCUCCUGUUUGUCUACCUUCUAUAACCACAGGUAUAAGGAAAUGAAAAGUGAUUCUUUCUGGUUCCUGUCUGCGAAGUGACUAUAGUACUUAGAAAUACAAAAGCCUCUAAACUUCCAGCCAUGGAAACCCUUAAUCAGAUAUGCUGAGUUGCUAGAGGUCUCUGAGUCAUCAAGAUUUAAACCUUCACAAAAGUUAAUAAUUGUUCAUUUCUGUAGCAGUAACUGUGCUCAGCACUUCACACAUAUUAUACAUUUGAUCCUGAUACCACCUUCUUAUCUUGUGGAUUAGGAAAUUGAGGCUUAGAGGGGUAACUUUCCUAAGGCUACUGUUAGUAAGUAGAAGAAGUCUGCUUCCUUGAUGGGCUCACUUAAUGUCUAUAACAUUAUGAAAUAGAUUAAAUUAUUCCAAAUUUUUCAAAUGGGGAAAACGAGGGCUCAGAAACAUUGAAAAUGGUUGUACAUUUAGAUUGUAAAUUAGUUUAUAUAAACUUGGGCUCACUGCUUUGAGAUACAAGUUCCAAAUAGAAUGGUUCUGGUUGUUUUAUUAUAUAUAAACUCCAAAAGCAAGCAAAUAGCCACACAGUUAAUAACAGUAGCUAAUAUUUCUUGAAUACUUAAGUGGUAAGUAUUAUUCUGAAUAACUGUAUUGAGAUUAAUUUGUUUAAUCCUCACAACAUCCCUGUGAAGUAUUAUUAUCCCUAUUUUAUAAUUAAAUGAACAGAAAGGAGGCAUCUGGGUGGCUCAAUUCAGUUAAGCGUCUGCCUUCGGGUGUGGUCAUGAUCCCAGGGUCCUGGGAUCUAGUACCACCUUUGGCUCCUGGCUCAGCGGGAAGUCGCUUCUCCUUCUGCCCCUCCCCCUUUUCAUGGUCUCUCUCAAAAA